rnacentral:hammerhead_ribozyme from 1 species
AUCCAGCUGAUGAGUCCCAAAUAGGACGAAACGUGUGUUUGGAAU